rnacentral:rRNA from 1 species
UACGUAGGGUGCAAGCGUUAUCCGGAAUUAUUGGGCGUAAAGAGCUCGUAGGCGGUCUGUCGCGUCGGCUGUGAAAACCCGGAGCUCAACUCCGGGCCUGCAGUCGAUACGGGCAGACUGGAGUUCGGCAGGGGAGACUGGAAUUCCUGGUGUAGAGGUGAAAUUCGUAGAUAUUAGGAAGAACACCGGUGGCGAAGGCGGCCAUCUGGCUCGGUACUGACGCUCAGGUCGAAAGCGUGGGGAGCAAACAGG